rnacentral:misc_RNA from 1 species
GAUGAAGAAAGUAGCGAAAUGCGAUAAGUAAUGCGAAUUGCAGAAUUUCCGUGAGUCAUCGAAUCUUUGAACGCACAUUGCGCCCACUGGUAUUCCGGUGGGCAUGCCUGUUCGAGCGUCAUUAUCCUCCCUCAAACCUCGGGUUUGGUGUUGGACCCAAGUUGUGUGAACAACUGGUCUUAAAGACAAUGACGGCGUCCGUGGGACCCUCGGUGCAACGAGCUUUUAGGAGCACGCGUCGAGUUUCAAGGACCUUCCGGGCCGGUCUCCUUUACCAUUUUACAAGGUUGACCUCGGAUCAGGUAGGAAUACCCGCUGAACUUAAGCAUAUCAAUAAGCGGAGGA